rnacentral:rRNA from 1 species
UACAGAGGUCCCAAGCGUUGUUCGGAUUCACUGGGCGUAAAGGGUGCGUAGGUGGUGAGGUAAGUCGGAUGUGAAAGCUCGGAGCUCAACUCCGAAAUGGCAUUGGAAACUACCUUGCUCGAGGGUUGGAGGGGGGGACUGGAAUGCUUGGUGUAGCAGUGAAAUGCGUAGAUAUCAAGCGGAACACCAGUGGCGAAGGCGAGUCCCUGGACAACUCCUGACACUGAGGCACGAAAGCUAGGGGAGCAAACAGG